rnacentral:tRNA from 1 species
AUUACUUUGGCAGAAUAGUGCAAUGAAUUUAGAAUUCAUGAAUGUGAUUUUUUCACAGGUAAUA